CACCCCGCAGCUUGAGGUGGGGGCAGCGUGCGGAGUCCCUGUGUCCACCUCUGUGCCUAGGAGCUGGAGGGACAUGCCGACCGCUUCCAGGAGCCGCACGGAGGCUGCCUGCCCUGCUGGCGCUGCGGCCAACCAGACUUUUAGUGACCUGGUCAGCUGUGGUGACCGGAGCCACCAAGGUCCCUUUUAGACCAGGUGUUCCUGUCGAAAACUAGACGCAUGGCAACCCUAAACGGAGCCUUCCUUCCAUGGUAGAAGACGCAUCAUAAAUUAUUGUAAUGUAGUAUAUCCUUGGUUUGGGGGAAAAUCUGUCAGAUUUACCAGUCCACCCCAUUUCUUCCCAUGAUGGUGGGUCCCUGAAGAGCCAGCACAGGUGAGCUUUCAUGUGGAAAGGAGGAGGAGCACCCUUCCCCCCAUUCUCUGUGUUCUCUGGCCAGAUCUGCACUCUCAGAAUCAGAGAUUGGGAAAUUGAGGUAGAGAGGUAAAGUGACUUGCCCAAGGUUGCAGAAGAAUCCGCUGUCAGAGAUGGGGUAGAAGGACCUGAUUCCACUCCUGUUCUCCGAAGAGAGCUCUCUCUAAAUUUUGCAGCAGGAUCUAUGGCUUAGGUUCUUUUCUGCACUGAGAUCCUCUCAGCGCAAGUUGGGUGGAACUCCCUGGUUAUCAUGGUGUAUCUGCCCUAUUUCCAGUUACCUUUACAAUGGAUUCUGCUACUCUGAUUUGUGACAGCGGGCAGUGAUUCCUGAGGUCACUAAUUUAGGUGCCUGGUUGUGGAUUUAGGAGCCUAACUUUAGGCACCCAGUUUGGGUUAAAGUGUUUUUGUUUGCAUCUCCCAACCCCCACUUCUUCUUGUUUUCAUCAAAGCCAUACUUUGGAGAGUUGAAAGAUGGUUUGUAAUGCUGAUUGGAGCAGUAUCAUCAUAAAAUGCAAAUAUGCCUGAAGUU